UGUUGUUGUAUAUUUUGAGAUAUUACAAAGUGUGGGGUCUUUAGGUAUAGUACCUUUUGCAUCAUGAUCUAUUGAUGGGCAGAGCGGUUGGUAAAAUCCGAAGGAGUACGGUUUUUAAAGCACAUGUUGAGAAAGUAACAAGUGAGCGGGUAGUUCUUUGAAUAGUGUUUUAGAGGGAUGAUAAAUAAUACGUGUAUUCUGAUAUCUGAUGGGGGGUUGGGUGUAUAGUUGCAAGCUUACUGCUAGGAGGUGUUAAGCUGGUUAAGAACUCUAGUAAAUGUAAAAUGCGCUUAGGGUUAGAAGUACCCUGUGCUAAAUUAAUGUUAUUAUAAAUUGAUUAAAGUGGUUUGUGUUGUUUUAUGAAAGCCACCCCUUUAAAAAUAGGUAGUGUGUUAUAUAAUGGUAGAAUGAGUAUAAAAUGUUAAUACUAUCUUUCUAUCUCGGCAGUUUGUCAGUCUGUUUAGUAAAAACAUAGCCAUCUGUGUUAUGUUAGAUGGUAAAGCCUGCCCUAUGCAUGAAGAUGUAAAUGGCCGCAGUAAUUUGACUGUGCAAAGGUAGCAUAAUUAAUUGUCUCGUAAUUGGGGGAUUGUUUGAAAGGUUAGACUAGGCAAUGGUUAGAAGGAUAGUUGGUUAGAAAUUGGAUGUUUGGUGCAGAUUCCAAACAAAGUUAGUUAGACGGAAAGACCCCGAGAGCUUUACACUUUGGUGUUUAUCUGGGGCAGAGGCGUAUUUUUCAUGCGUUUUUGGAUCCUAAGGGGUUACAGGUUAUAGUUACCUCGGGGAUAACUAGGUAAGAAGCAAUAAGAGAUCCUAUCGCUUUGCUUAUUUGCCAUCUCGAUGUUGAUUUAAGGUACCACAGGGGCGCAGUAGUUUUUGUGUUAGGUCUGUUCGACCUGGAUUCCUUUCAUGAGUUGAGUUAAGACCGGCGUGAGCCAGGUCGGUUCUUAUCUGCUAUUCUUGCAGGUUAGUACGAAAGGAUUGCUUGCAGUUUAUGUUGGGUGCGAGCAU
rnacentral:rRNA from 1 species